UGCGGCUUGAGCUGCGCCCGCGGCCGGGGGUGGGGCGGCGGCUAGGCGGAGUGAGCGCCGAGUCCCGCCGAGGGGCCGGACUGCUCCGGGGGAAAAAAAAGAUUCUCGCGGCCGCCAUCUCCGCGUCCUGGUCCAGAUAGUCUCGAAGUGCGAUCACCCUUCAGGCCGGCUAUAAUCCAGUCUGGCACUCAAGCUUCAGUCAAAAGCCCCCACCAUCACCCUGCCCCAACUCUUGGACUCUGAUUGAGUGGCAUUCUGCCUGGCACAGGUGGUACCGUGUAGUGGUGACGAGCUUCCGCUCUGGAGUCCCCUCCUGGAUCGUCAUCCCACCUCUGCAGCAC
rnacentral:lncRNA from 1 species